rfam:Callithrix jacchus chromosome 1, whole genome shotgun sequence
UGGCGCCCAACGUGAGAGCUCGAGUACGAGGGACACAGUGAGGGAUGCCAUCGAGGUCAGCCGGCGCAGAAGGAUUAAGAAACCCGGAGGAAAGAGCGUCGUGGGAGCCUGCCACGGACUCACGCUCCGGUAAGCGGACUGCGAAUAUGGGACAGGAAAUCAGCCAGCAUGAGUAAGUAAGGCUUUAAAGGCACGGGGAGUAAAGGUGAAAAUAAAACAGUUGUGUAAAUAUUUUGACUACAUUCAGGAUGUCUGCCCUU